GACUGCACAUAUAAUAAAAUUUGAAUGAUAAAGAGAGAUUAACAUGGCCCCUGUGCAAGGAUUACAUUCAAAUAUUUUAUGAAUAUCAUAGAGAC
rnacentral:snRNA from 1 species